rnacentral:rRNA from 1 species
UACGAAGGGGGGCUAGCGUUGUUCGGAAUUACUGGGCGUAAAAGCGCACGUAGGCGGAUAUUUAAGUCAGGGGUGAAAUCCCAGAGCUCAACUCUGGAACUGCCUUUGAUACUGGGUAUCUUGAGUAUGGAAGAGGUAAGUGGAAUUGCGAGUGUAGAGGUGAAAUUCGUAGAUAUUCGCAGGAACACCAGUGGCUGGAGGCGGCUUACUGGUCCAUUACUGACGCUGAGGUGCGAAAGCGUGGGGAGCAAACAGGG